UGGGGAAUUUUGGACAAUGGGGGCAACCCUGAUCCAGCCAUUCCGCGUGAGUGAAGAAGGCCUUCGGGUUGUAAAGCUCUUUCAGCUGGAACGAAACGGUACGCUCUAACAUAGCGUGCUAAUGACGGUACCAGCAGAAGAAGCACCGGCUAACUACGUGCCAGCAGCCGCGGUAAUACGUAGGGUGCGAGCGUUAAUCGGAAUUACUGGGCGUAAAGCGUGCGCAGGCGGAUUGUUAAGCAAGACGUGAAAUCCCCGGGCUUAACCUGGGAAUGGCGUUUUGAACUGGCAGUCUAGAGUGUGUCAGAGGGGGGUAGAAUUCCACGUGUAGCAGUGAAAUGCGUAGAGAUGUGGAGGAAUACCAAUGGCGAAGGCAGCCCCCUGGGAUAACACUGACGCUCAUGUACGAAAGCGUGGGUAGCAAACAGGAUUAGAUACCCUGGUAGUCCACGCCCUAAACGAUGUCAACUGGUUGUUGGGGGAGUGAAAU
rnacentral:rRNA from 1 species